UGAUAAUGCAAAUGACGUAAGAGAUGGA
rnacentral:piRNA from 1 species